rnacentral:lncRNA from 1 species
CCUCUCUUUCGCAGACCCCAAACCCCGGAGCCGGCGUCCCGGCCCACCCCGCCCUCCGCGCCCCCCGACGGCAGCGGCGGCCGGCAUUCCGGAGCAGCGCGUCGGAGCGGCAACUUCGCGCCCGGGCGCCCGCACCUCGCGGCCCGGCGGGCGGGAGACAAAAGCUGCGGCGCCGCCGGAGGCCGCGCGGCCAAGGCUCGGUGCUGGGCGCUGGGGAUACACAGGUGACCCGGUGGACUUGGUGCCCACUGCCCUGGAGCAGACAGUCUGGUGGACAAGACAGGCACUGAUUGGUGUGAUAUAAGAUUGGCACCUGAGCUAACAACUGUGGCCAAUUUUCUUUUUUUUUUCUUUCUGCUUUUCCUCCCAAAAUUCCC